rnacentral:rRNA from 1 species
GACGAACGCUGGCGGCGUGCUUAACACAUGCAAGUCGAACGGAAAGGCCCCCUUGUGGGGUACUCGAGUGGCGAACGGGUGAGUAACACGUGAGUAACCUACCCUUGACUUUGGGAUAACUUCAGGAAACUGGGGCUAAUACCGGAUAGGAGCUCCUGCUGCAUGGGGGGGGUUGGAAAGUUUCGGCGGUUGGGGAUGGACUCGCGGCUUAUCAGCUUGUUGGUGGGGUAGUGGCUCACCAAGGCCUUGACGGGUAGCCGGCCUGAGAGGGUGACCGGCCACAUUGGGACUGAGAUACGGCCCAGACUCCUACGGGAGGCAGCAGUGGGGAAUAUUGCACAAUGGGCGGAAGCCUGAUGCAGCAACGCCGCGUGCGGGAUGACGGCCUUCGGGUUGUAAACCGCUUUCGCCUGUGACGAAGCGUGAGUGACGGUAAUGGGUAAAGAAGCACCGGCUAACUACGUG